GACAGAGGGUGCAAACGUUGUUCGGAAUCACUGGGCAUAAAGCGCACGUAGGCGGUCCGUUAAGUCAGAUGUGAAAGCCCCCGGCUCAACCGGGGAACGGCAUCUGAUACUGGCGGGCUCGAGGAUGGCAGGGGUGAGCGGAACUCCAGGUGGAGCGGUGAAAUGCGUAGAUAUCUGGAGGAACACCGGUGGCGAAAGCGGCUCACUGGACCAUAUCUGACGCUGAGGUGCGAAAGCUAGGGUAGCAAACGGGAUUAGAUACCCCGGUAGUCCUAGCCGUAAACGAUGGGCACUAGGCAGGGGAGAUGCCUAUGGUCUUCUCUGCCGUAGCUAAUGUGUUAAGUGCCCCGCCUGGGGAGUACGCUCGCAAGGGUAAA
rnacentral:rRNA from 1 species